GUGCUCGCUUUGGCAGCACAUGUACUAAAGUUGGAAUGAUACAGAGAAGAUUAGCAUGGCCCCUGAGCAAGGAUGACACGCAAAUUCAUGAAGCGUUCCGUAUUUUU
rnacentral:snRNA from 1 species